rnacentral:tRNA from 1 species
GCGUCCGUGGUGUAGUAGCAAACAUGCCGCCCUCCCACGGCGGCGUCGCGGGUGCAAGUCCCGCCGGAUGCU